GACGAACGCUGGCGGCGUGCUUAACACAUGCAAGUCGAGCGGUAAGGCCCUUUCGGGGGUACACGAGCGGGGCGAACGGGUGAGUAACACGUGGGUGACCUGCCCUCAGCUCUGGGAUAAGCCUGGGAAACCGGGUCUAAUACCGGAUAUGACUCCAUGACGCAUGUUGUGGGGUGGAAAGCCUUGUGCGGCUGAGGAUGGGCCCGCGGCCUAUCAGCUUGUUGGUGGGGUGAUGGCCUACCAAGGCGACGACGGGUAGCCGGCCUGAGAGGGCGACCGGCCACACUGGGACUGAGACACGGCCCAGACUCCUACGGGAGGCAGCAGUGGGGAAUCUUGCGCAAUGGGCGAAAGCCUGACGCAGCGACGCCGCGUGAGGGAUGACGGCCUGUGU
rnacentral:rRNA from 1 species